rnacentral:rRNA from 1 species
GGGGCCCGCACAAGCAUCGGAGCGUGUUGCUUAAUUCGAUGCUACGCGAAGAACCUUACCUAGGUCAAAUCAUUGGGAAAAGCCACAGAGAUGUGGUGUCCUUCGGGGCUCAAUGAAGGUGGUGCAUGGCUGUCGUCAGCUCGUGUCGUGAGAUGUUGGGUUAAGUCCCGCAACGAGCGCAACCCUUAUCCUAUGUUGCCAGCGCGUAAUGGCGGGGACUCGUAGGAGACUGCCGGGGUCAACUCGGGGGAAGGUGGGGAUGACGUCAAGUCAUCAUGCCCCUUAUGUCUAGGGCUGCAAACACGCUACAAUGGCCGGUACAAAGGGCUGCGAAACCGCGAGGUUUAGCGAAUCCCAUAAAGCCGGUCUCAGUUCGGAUUGGAGGCUGCAACUCGCCUCCAUGAAGCUGGAGUUGCUAGUAAUCCCGGAUCAGCACGCCGGGGUGAAUACGUUCCCGGGCCUUGACACACCGCCCGUCACACCACGAAAGUCGGCAACACCC